UGCCCAGCCCAGAUGUGACUUGUGUGGAAGCUGCCUGCCGUGCCGUGGUCUACACACACUGUACUGCAAGCCACAACACGCCGAUCCUCCUCCACAGUCGGAUGCCGAGUGCUUGGGGCGCGGGAGCGAGACGAGGUCAUCCGAUCCGGAAGAAGGAGGAGGAGAUCGAGAUCAAGGAGAAGGAGCAGGAGCGCCUCCAGGCCGACCUCAGGAAGGUGCAAUGCAGCGCGCCAAGGAGUUGAAGCCCACCGUGGUACGUUCUCAGAUCUCCCGAUUUCAAUUCAUAUCUCGUCGCAGUUCCUCUUGAUCCGAAUGCCAGGUUGAUCCAUCCAUCUAUGGCGCGACCCCUUCCCGCCUACCAAUGCACCGGAAAACCGCGCAAACGGAGGCCCCACAACCUCCUGGCCCCUUCCUUGCGCCCUCGCUGAAGCCCACCCAAGCACAAACCACAGCUGCCACUCCCCGAGGAAGGCAUAUGCCGGCCGUGGUUAGGUGCGAAUCCGUCGCUGGCGAUCAUCACAUCGAACCAUUCAUGGGCAAGGCGUCCUAGCUGCAGAUUGGCUUGCUACGUCCAUUUUAUUCAGACGACGUGACGUUCGCGGAGGAGCAAGUCCAAGAGCAGCCACCGUUCGAAGAAGAGUA